AAAAAGGAUUUCCUAAAAUCCAAUACUCAGUUGUUUAUAAAAGGUAU
rfam:Heterocephalus glaber contig272102, whole genome shotgun sequence.